rnacentral:rRNA from 1 species
CCUAGGGGCAGCAGUGGGGAAUAUUGGACAAUGGGCGAAAGCCUGAUCCAGCCAUGCCGCGUGUGUGAAGAAGGCCUUCGGGUUGUAAAGCACUUUCAGUGGGGAAGAAAGCCUUGGGGCUAAUACCCUCGAGGAAGGACAUCACCCACAGAAGAAGCACCGGCUAACUCCGUGCCAGCAGCCGCGGUAAUACGGAGGGUGCGAGCGUUAAUCGGAAUUACUGGGCGUAAAGCGCGCGUAGGCGGUCUGAUAAGCCGGUUGUGAAAGCCCCGGGCUCAACCUGGGAACGGCAUCCGGAACUGUCAGGCUAGAGUGCAGGAGAGGAAGGUAGAAUUCCCGGUGUAGCGGUGAAAUGCGUAGAGAUCGGGAGGAAUACCAGUGGCGAAGGCGGCCUUCUGGACUGACACUGACGCUGAGGUGCGAAAGCGUGGGUAGCAAACAGGAUUAGAUACCCUUGUAGUC